UCUCUCUCUCUCUCUCUCUCUCUCUCUCCAUACAUGUCUAGUCCGAUGCGUUAUUGCAUGCAUUCUCUUUUCCCAUUUCUUGUGUUCUGGUUGUGUGGAGUCUUUCAAAUGAAUCCAUAACUACAACCACCCUCCGAUUUGGUUAAACUCUCAAAUCAAUUCAAUUCAGUUCAGUUCAAUCCAUUUCUAGUGCUUCUUCCUUCUCACAAAUUCAGGAAUCAAUGGCUAUGGGAGAGCUCUUAGUCGCCGCUUCAAUCAAGUUUCUAUUUGAGAAGUUGGCCACUUUAGCCUCCAGCGAGCUGUCAAACUUUGCACGCGGCUUCGGCGGAGAGCGGCGAAUUCGUACUCUGUUGACGAAAUGGAGCAAAACUUUGGAAGAAAUUGAGGCAGUUCUCGUUGAUGCUGAUGAGAAGCGAGUCACCGAAAGGGGUAUUAAGAUUUGGCUUGAAGAUCUUCAGGACAUGGCUUAUGACGUCGAUGACAUACUCGACGAGUUCUCCACCGAAGCUUUGCGACCUAAGUCGAUGAUCACCACCAAGAGCCUUCCCAAAGGAGGCCGCCAACGGUGUCAAAAGGGGAAAGGCCGAUAUUGGCGCUUCAUUUCUCACAUUCCUCGUGUGGACAUAGAUGAUAAAUUCAUCUUUGACCCAAGCUGCUAGAAAACAAGUCAGAAAUUAAAAGAGAAGCAGUGAAGAAGGGCCACUUCUUCCCUUUGACUGCAACCUCUCUGCAACGUGAUUUGAGGCACAUAUAUAGAGAGAUUGUGAGAGUGAAGAGUGGAGAGUGGAGGUGAAUGCCAUCGGUUUCUCCCUCAUUUGUGGAGAUUGCCAGCGAUGGUGUAAGGGAGAUCUAGAGAUGUAGUGGAGAUCCAGACAGAUAGAAGUGGAGAUUGAGAGGGAACAUAGUUGAUAAAAAAUAUUCAUUGUCGACUCUGGUGAAAAAGAUUACAAGACAAAGGGUUUCAUAAACUGAUUAUGUGAUUUUAGACUUUGAAUUUACAUUAAUGCAAAAUUGCAUGUUAAACA